CAUAUAACUGCAAAUAUGAUACAGACUAUUACAAAUGUUAAGAAAAGCAAGAGGUUAACGAGGAAAAUCCAAAGAUAUGAUGAUAGCAUGAUAAUUUAAAUGAUCAUUUAUUUGCUUAAUACUAAGCCCUCUCUUCUUGUAUUGUGGCUUCUGUGGUGUGGGGGAACUUGGGUUGGGCACUUCUGAAUUUAAAAAUGGAAAAAAAGGUUCCAAAGAUGAGCAGUUCCGAGUGAUCUAUGAAAAUGAAAAAUAGCAUGGGCAAAAGUUAAGAAAAGUGUUGGUUAAUCAAUAAUCUUCAAAGUAUCAGUUCUUUGGUUUAAGAUCACCCACAGAGAGGUGGAUGAUUAAUCUGAAGACCCUUUUAAAAUAAGCUGGGGCUUCUCUUUGGUCUUCCUGCAGCCCAGAGCACAGGGAGAGGCUUAAAACUGCCCUGAAGCUCCCUCUGACCAUUCAAAGUGGACUGUCAUUGUGAAACAGAUUUUACUGAAUACCUAGCGAGACAGUGACUGUCCUUGGGGGGAAAA